rnacentral:lncRNA from 1 species
AUGAUUGGUUUUUUCACCUUUUAGAUAUAUAGAGAACCAAACCAACUAAGUUGAAUUUAAGCGUUAGCUUGAUUUCUGACUCGGUUUCUAAGUCUUGGUUUUUACAUCGUUUACAUCCCGGCUUGAAGGAUACAUGAUAUGCAAUGAACAUUUUUUUGUAGCCUAAUUCCAAGCUCAAUAGUUGUUGUAGCAUAAAAGAGGUGUCAAAUAAAUCGAAGAUGAUUCUAAUCAAGACAUGUUUUAAUCUAAACACAAUCAAAGUGUUUAUAAGUAACCAAGUAACUAGACUGUCUAGUCAAACAAGAACGAGUAAAGAUUAGUAAAGUAAAUGGCUUUCAAUCAAUUACUUAUAAGAUGAACCAAUGGGAAUUCGAUAAUUUUUAAAGAUUAGUUCCAAGUCAAGGUACCAAGCAAACAACCAAGCAAACAAUCAACAGGCUUUCAUAAAUCUAAAACACUAAGAUAGAUUAAUUCAUUUCCAUGAUAGAAACCCAUAUAUUGUCAAGCAUUAAACAUCAAAUUUCUUUGGUCUAGCUAUACAAUCAAACAUGCAGUUGAAUUAAGUCUACUAACCAUCUAUAAAUCCUAUUAUUUCUAGCAAUCAUAAUAUCAAAUUCCUUUGGUUAAAUGUGCUAGAGCAAAAACUAAAUUCAUGGACCUAUUUUGAGAAACAUUUUCAUUGCAUAAAAUAUCUUAGAAUCUAGAUGAGAGUGACCGAGUCUAAACUAGCAUUAAGAACACUUAGCAUGUAUAGAAACAAACAAAUCUAACACUAAAAACCUUAACUCUUCACUGAUCAUCCUAAAUCUAUAUAGCCCAAAGAUUCAAGAGGUGUACUCAAAAAUCAUAAACUCAUGAUAACUUGAACCAUAACCAAGCUUAUAAAGGAGAUAAUCACAAGUAAACACAAGAGAGAAAGUAGAAAUUGUAUAAACACAACAAGAUCCAAGAGGUUUUAGGUUAAUACAGUAGAUAAAAAUAUGUUAUUAGUCAUUAAAGACAACUUCUAUUUAUAUCAAAUGGCUAGAAACUCAAAAUCUACUAGAUUUAAUAAAAGUAGUAGCGGCCAUAGAUCAAUCGCUAGGAGGAGACCAUGUGUGCAGGUGUUGUAGCGGCCUUUGCAUUUGGCCGCUAUCUGGACCGCUAUGAGUUUUCGAGACGUCUUCAGGACAGGCCGCUAGCUCCAGCUGCUACAUUGUCCUUCCUCUUGCGGUUAAGGUAAAACUGUUGGUGCAAACCGCUAUGCCCCAUGGUCGAAUGUGAUCAUCUGAAGGAGGGGGAUAUCAGCCUUGGUUAAGACUGCUAGACUAGGCCGCUCUGUGUGAAUGUGUUCCAAGUUGUCAACAGCGCUGGCUACUACGUACGUGCCUCCUUGAAUCCAAAUUUUGCAAACUAUCUCCUCUGGUUGCUUUCCACGUCCAAAUAGUUCAAAUAACUUGUGUAUCUGCUCCAAGAAUACCAAAAAUAUAAGAUGCAUAUGCAAGAUGCAUAUGCAAGAUGCAUAAAUCUAAACUUUUUUUAGCUAAAUUAUAAAUGUUAUUCAGUCAGGGCGAAGCCACCUUGUAAAUAUUGCACCCACA